rnacentral:rRNA from 1 species
UACGUAGGGUGCAAGCGUUAAUCGGAAUUACUGGGCGUAAAGGGCUCGUAGGCGGUUCGUCACGUCGGGAGUGAAAACUCGGGGCUUAACCCCGAGCCUGCUUCCGAUACGGGCAGACUAGAGGUAGGCAGGGGAGAGCGGAACUCCUGGUGUAGCGGUGGAAUGCGCAGAUAUCAGGAAGAACACCCGUGGCGAAGGCGGCUCUCUGGGACGGUACUGACGCUGAGACGCGAAAGCGUGGGAGCGAACAGG